GCCCCAUGAUGAAAAGGAUGACCAAGGCUGCUUUAGCUCCUCUAGGACCCAGGUUCUUGCCAAAGAAAUAGAGUUGCUCCUUGACACGUUCUUCUGUGAAAAAGAAAAGUGAGGUGUCAUGCCUCUGCCUUUACCUGGGUCUACGGGAAACCUAGUGCCAUCACCUGGCAUCGCUGGCAGACAGCACUAUACCUGUGUUCCGAAGGACUGUGUAGGUGGUUUCCAUGCCUGCAUGGAUGUGAUCAGAUACGUGACAGUGUAACAGCCAUGUCCCUGGGUGAUCUGCAAAUAGUUCAACAGUUUGGAAGGUCCCAGGAAAGAGAUCGUACACAUCUUCUCGAUUCCUGAUUCUGGGGGAAGCCAACUGCCAUGCCAUACCCACAUGAUGAGGAGCUGAAGCCUCCGGUCAACAGCCCUGCGAGUGAGCUCAAAAGUGGAUUGUCUAGCCCCAGUCAAACCCGAUGACUGCAGGGCCGGCUGACAUCUUAUCACAGCCUCAUGAAAGAUGCUAAGUUGGAACCAACUAGCCAAACUAUUUCCCAAUUACUGACCCAGAGAAACUGUGAUAAUAAGUGUUUAUUGUUUUUAGGACAUUAAGUUUUGGAACCAUUUGUUAGCUAGCAAUAGAUAACUAAUAGAAACCUCUAGACAAACUGACCAAGGAGGGAAAAAAGAAAGACACAAAUUGCAAAUAUCAGGAAUGAAAGAGGGGACAACACUGAGAUCUUAUAGACAUUACAAAGGAUAAUAAAGGGAUGUUAUGAACAACUGUUUAUAAAUUAUAUAACUUAGAUGGUAUGGACAAUUUCUUAAGGUGAAAACUGGUAUCACUAUUCAGGUUAUCUAUUAAAAAAUCUGAAAGUAUAAUAAGACCUUCUAUCAAAUGAGCUCCAUGUCUAUAGGUCUUUAUUGGCAAAUUUUAUCAAACAUUUAGAGAAGAAGUAAUACCAAUUCUAAACAAACUCCCAGAAAAUAGAAGAUGAGAGAACACUUUAAACUCAUAUUAUGAGGACAGGAUUACCCUAAUACCAAAACCAGCCAAAAAACUUACAAAACAAGAAAGCUUCUACCAGUGUUCUUCAUAAACAUAUAUGUAAAAGUGCUUAAAAACACUAGUAGAUUGAGUCCAGAAAUAUAAGAAAAGGAUAUUGCAUUAUGACAAAUUAAAGUUUAUCCUGGGAAUGAAAAUGGGUUCAACAUUUGAAAAUUAGUCAAUGUAAUUUACCUAUAUAAUAAAGAAAGUAAUCAAUAGACUAAAAAUGAAAAAUGUGAUCAUCUCAAUAGAUUCAGAGAAAGCAUUUGACAGGGUUUAACAUCAGUUCAUGAUAAAAAAAAAAACAACUCUCAACAAACUAAGAAUAGAAGGAUCUACAGCCAUCUUUAUAUUCAGUGGUGAAUGACUGACUUGACUGCUUUUCCCCUAACAUUAAAAAUAAGUCAGCCUUGGCUGGUUUGACUCAAUAAAUUGAGCACCGGCCUGUGAACCAAAGGGUUGCAGGUUUGAUUCCCAGUUUGAUUCAAGGCACAUGUCUGGGUUGUGGGCCAGGUCCCCAGUUGGGGGUGCAUGAGAGGCAACCACACACUGAUGUUUCUCUCCCUCACUUCCUCUCUAAAAAUAAAUAAAUAAAAUCUUUAAAAAAAUUUUAAAAAGUAAAAGUUAUCCACCUUCACUAUUCAUAUUCAACAUUAUAGUAGAGCUUCUAGCCAGUGCAAUAAGGCAAGAAAAGAAACAAAAGGUAUACAGAUUGAAAAUAAAUAAGACUGUCUCUAGUCACAGAUAACAUGAUUGUCUAUGUAGGAAACCAUCUCCCCAAAAUCUACAAAUAGCUACUAGAACUAGUUUAGAAAAGUUGCAGGAUACAAGGUGUAUUAUACAAAAGUCAAUUGCAUUUCUACACAUUGGCAAUGAAAAAUUAGAAAUUGAAAUAAAACAAUACCACUUAUACUAUCACCAAAAUCCAAGUAUUAGUGAUAUUCUGAAAAAAAUAUGUGCAAGAUUUGUAUGCUGAAAACUACAUAAGACUGAUGGGAGAAAUCAAAUAAGAUCUAAACAAAUAGAUAUACCACAUUCAUGGAUUGAAAGACUCAGUAUUAAGAUAGCUAUUCUUCCCCAACCAAUGUAUAGAUUUAAUGCAAUACUAAUCAAAAUCCCAGCAGGAUUUUUAAAAUAGAAAUCAGCACAAUAUUUCUUUUUUUAUUUUUCUUUUUCAGUUACAGUUGAAAUUCAAUAUUACUUUAUAUUAAUUUGAAGCUAUCUUUAAAAUUUGUAUGGGAAGGCAAAAAUCUGGAAUAGCUAAAACAAUCAUCACCUGAUUUUAAGACUUACUGUCACGCUAAAGUAGUCAACCAGUGGCAUUCAAGAAAGGACAGAUAUAUACAGUGUCCAGCAGCAGGAAUGCCUGCUUGAGUGUGGUUGGUAGGGCAGAGGGCAAUAUAGGGGAGAAAAAAAAGGGACAACUGUCAUAGCAUAAUCAAUAAAAUAUAUUAAAAAAUAGUGAGAUACCACUACACAUUUAAUGGAAUAGCAAAGAAAAAAUUAAAUAAAAAUGGAAGAUACCAAGUGCUGAUUUGGAUGUGUAAUAAAUGUCAUUAUUAUACAUUUCUGGUGGGAAUGAAAAAUGGUACUGCCUCUGCAGAAAAUAAAGCAGUUUGGCAAUUCCUUGUCAAGUUAAACAUACACUUACCAAAUGACCUAGCAAUCCAAUUCCUUAGUAUUUUCCCAAGGAAAAGGAAAACAUAUAUUCACAAAAAAACAUGUACUUAAAUAUUUAUACUGAUUUUAUUUGUAAUAAUAAAAAAUU